GGGUCACGGCGCCCAGAGUUCAGCUUCCGCUGAGGCCAACCCCGCCCCUCCCACGCGGACCCCAGCCCCGGGCUCGGGUCUCAGCGCCAUCUGCAGGACACGCUCCCCGGCAGGGAGAGCAGGCGAGGCGUGAGUCACGGCAAGAGGAGAGAUGCAGCCCCGCAGAAACGUGGGAAGAGUCAGCGAAGGGACUGCCAUUCCACAGGGACAGCCAGCCGAGCCAGCUUCAGGUCCUCAGGUCCUCCGUAGGUGUCUGCUAAAUGCCUGCAAGUAAACGAAUGGAAGAACAAAGGAAUGGCCAAGCAGAACAAACGGCAAGGAUCAACUGAGUGGAAGAGGUAGGCAGUGUGGGAGGAAUGAGAGACCAGGGCCUCGGAACUUGCAGGCGGGCCCAGACCAUUGCCCCUUGAUGACAUCUUUAGGUAUUUGGGUAAUAUAAUAAUACAGCUAAUAUACAAGUAGCACUGGGCAUGUGGUGACCGCUGACCUACAUACUUCCUGUGCAUUAAUUCUUUUAAUUCUGACAAAAACCCAAAGAGCACUGGGCGUGGUGGCACGAGCCUGUGAUCCUAGCACUCAGGAGGCUGAGGCAGGAGGAGUUCGAGGCCAGCCCCAACUACAUAGUGAGUUCCAGGCCAGCCUGAACUACAUAGCAAGACCCUGUCUCAAAAAACCCCCCAAAGACAAAACAACACAAAAAAACAACCCUCAGCAGAAACAGACACAGAGACAUUAAGAACUGUGGCUCAGGGGCAACCCACUUUCCGGUCCCAUUCUGUCUCUCAGCCAGAAGGUUUCUUUCUCCCAAUAAAUUUUUCCUUCUCUUAAAAAAGAAAAAAAAAGAACUGUGGCUCAGGUGUGGUGUUCCAAGCCUGUAUUCCCAACAUUAAAGAGGCUGAGGUGGGUGAAUCACUUGAGCUCAGGAAUUUGAGGCCAGCUUGGACAACAACACAGCAAGCCUAUGCACAGAGAGAGAGAAAGCAGAAAUCUGUGGAUGGACUGCAAAGUGGGUUAGAGGUGCAGUGUUUGCCCAGCCUUUGAGAAGCUCUGGGUUUGAUCCCCUAAGAAAGUUGAGUUCUGAUUCAGAUUUGUGCAUUUCCCAUAAAUUUUGUCUUCCUAAGGCAAAAAAAAAGAAA